rnacentral:rRNA from 1 species
UGGUGGCGAGUGGCGAACGGGUGAGUAAUGCGUCGGAACGCGCCGAGUAGUGGGGGAUAACGCAGCGAAAGCUGUGCUAAUACCGCAUACGUUCUGAGGUAGAAAGUGGGGGAUCUUCGGGCCUCACGCUAUUGGAGCGGCCGACGUCAGAUUAGGUAGUUGGUGGGGUAAAAGCUCACCAAGCCGACGAUCAGUAGCGGGUCUGAGAGGAUGAUCAGCCACACUGGGACUGAGACACGGCCCAGACUCCUACGGGAGGCAGCAGUGGGGAAUUUUGGACAAUGGGCGCAAGCCUGAUCCAGCCAUGCCGC